rnacentral:lncRNA from 1 species
UUUUAGUUUUUAAAUACAGAAGUAUUAAUUUAUUUUGUAAAUGUGAAAUUAACAUUAAAUGCAGUUCAUUUCAUUUUUUAUUUUUAUUUUUACAUGUCCCUGAUACUGAUGCUUUGAUCAUAAAACUGACACAUUAUCACCAUUUCCACAACAACUUUGAUGUUUACUGGAAUUCCCUUAACACUUCCAAGGAUAUAUCAAACAGCAAUGUCUACAAAUCUGCAGGGAAAUACAGCCAACACAGAGGGUGUCACACACAACACUGGAUAAUGGCAAGAUCAUUUCAAUCGAAAAUCCAUUUUCAUGUGCUCAUCGUAUGAGCUGAUUACACCUGCUAUUUACUAAAAUGUUUAUAGGUUGCGGUUACCUAAUGUUCAAUUAGAUUAACAAAAUGGCACAAUCAUACAGUGAAACACUCAUGAAAGCUGGCAUGAAACAAAUAGUGGGAAAGGGGGCUAUAGUGAAGGAUUUUCAGACACUGGUGCACGAGUAGGCUAGGUAACAUUCAGAAAAGUUUAUUUGGCUGUAAAACCCCUUUUUUAAUCUGUCCUUAUCCAGUGAUCCAAUAAAGCUAGACAUGAAGGUUAAACAAGUAACAUGAGGCCCAAAUACAGACCGUCUCCAAAAAACAACAAAAAAAAUCAAGGCACUUGGGAGAUAAUCAUCUGGUUCUGGAUUAUUUUAAGAGAGUAAGGGUACACUCUGCCAAUUGCUCCAUUUAAGUCUCGGGGCAAAAUUGCUGUCCGGUAAGCAAUUUAGUAAACACAGAAAAACCUUUACUCUGCAAAGACUAUCCAGCUCUUGGAUUGUGGUUUUAAAGGUUUUUCAAAUUAGACACAAAUUGAGAAAGGCCCUAAAGCAGGUUUCCCCAAACUCCGGCCCCUCCAGAUGUUGCUGAACUACAACUCCCAUGAUUCUCAGCCUAUUUCAUUCAGAGAAUCAUGGGAGUUGUAGCAAAAUCUGGAGGGCCGGAGUUUGAGGAAGCCUGCCCUAAAGAACAAGUUAUUCUUUUAGUGAAAAUUCAAUCAAAAUUAGAUUGGAUUUAAUUUCCCAUUAUCUCAGGAGUACUAUGUGCUGCAACCAAGAUUAGCAAUAGCUCCCCUAUCCUCCAAUUACCAUGAUGCAUGUGCAAUAGUCUAACAGGCCUUUGUGUUACGACAAAAACUAACUAGGUUCUAGUGGGGAGAAAGACAUAUGCUCUACAAGUAUUUGCUUCACUGAUUAGAAAGAAAGAUCAAACUUACAACAAUAUAAGCACUAUAACCACUAUAAAGUUUUUGUGUAGAAAUCAGUUUUUGUCAGACUAUUUUCAAGUGGCAACCAAACCUAGUCCGUGGUCUGCCAAUGUCAAAGUUUCACUUUAUCUGCCCAACCAUGAAUGGCAGUGAUAGGCUGAAAGCAUUUGUGUGGAACAGCACAGCGAUGGCAACUUAUCAUUGCUAUCUAAGGUUGCAUGCAACUGGAUGGUUAAGUUAUAGCGGUUAGGGUGUUUAAAGAGUACCAUUAAAACUGCAAUUCUACAAACAAAGCAGAUUAAGUAGUAUACAGUGCAAACACCAUUCUUCUAUCGUAUGCUAUCACAGUAGGGUAAAACCUGCAGCCAGGUUCUCAAGUAAAAAAGUCACAUCAGUAACCAAUCAUUCUGGGAGUAGACCAUCAUUUGCAGACAUGCACUAAAAGUCAAUCUUGUGUAUUUCUGUAUUUAAAAAUGGUUAAUUAUUGAAAAAGUAUACUGCUAACAGUGUACCUAUCAUGAUAUACACAACAUGGGCUACAAUUAAAGAGCAUGACGUUUCAUCUACACAAUAUGCUAGCAUAAAUACUUGGAAAUGUAUAGAUAUUAAUUUAAUACCCAGGAAAGAUUUGGCCUUCUUCCACUUGAAAAUCAGACUUCAAUUUAUGUCAGUGGCAUGCAGGAGGUUUUUCUCACGCAUAAGGAUAAUAUAAUUUUGGAUGCACAGACACCAAAGUUCUGACAGUGAAGUCAGUAUGUCAUGAUAAGCUUGGGGACGUGUCUCAAACAGGCACAUUCACAGCAGAGAAGAGAAAGGAAAUAGACAGUGGAUGUUACAGCACAAUAGUUAUAACAUCCAAACACACAACAAAAAUGGUGGCACUGGUGUAAGGGGCAGCAGGUGACUACUAAUGUAAUGAUACAUUUAAAGGCUUUCAAGUGGUUAUGUGUUAAAAAUAACCUAUCAAGCCAGGUUCACUUUAAAAAACAAACAAAUGAUACUGUCACCACAAUUUACUAAGACUAACUAUAAAUGUCUAUAUGUAUAAUUAUAUUAAGGCAUUAUGAAAUACCGAUUGUACUGCCCAGAAAAUUGAAUGCAAAAUAGUCUUUAUUUACUACACGAGAGUAAGAACUAAGUUACGAGAAUUAGAAAUAAUUCAACAGAGAGAAUCCAGAGACUUGAGAUGGAAAAUGAUUUUUCUUAUGAUAAAUAUAAA